rnacentral:rRNA from 1 species
GUGUCAGCCGCCGCGGUAAUACGGGGGGUGCAAGCGUUGUUCGGAAUCAUUGGGCGUAAAGGGCGUGUAGGCGGCCGGGUAAGUCAGAUGUGAAAUCCCUGGGCUUAACCCAGGAAGUGCAUUUGAAACUGUCCGGCUCGAGUAGGGGAGAGGAAAGUGGAAUUCCUGGUGUAGAGGUGAAAUUCGUAGAUAUCGGGAGGAACACCGGUGGCGAAGGCGACUUUCUGGCUCUAUACUGACGCUGAGACGCGAAAGCGUGGGUAGCAAACAGGAUUAGAUACCCUGGUAGUCCCCGCCGUAA